UCGAGUCCAACAAAGAGGAGGAAGGCAGAAGGGAGAGCGACCAGGGCAAGAUCUAACCAUUUCUAUGAAACCAAGACGCUAUCCCAGAAGUAAACUCGUCUGUAUUGGAGAACUGAAGGUGAGCGUGGAGCCAAGGAAGGCCAGAGUUGGGGCUGAAAGGGGAGAUUUGGAGGAGGACCAUGGGCUUUCUCAAAGAAGAAAGUCCUCUCAGGCGGAGAGAAAUCCCAAGAAAAGGUCCAGGAACCAGAAUGCCUCUCUUCUGUGGAAACUGGGAUUGUGAUUUCAUUUGUGUGGGAAAGUCCCACACUCCGUGCUCUACCUUCCUCAUCAGCACUUCUGCUACAGAUGAGCUAGGAAGCCCAAGAGCUCCAGAAGCAGCAACAUCUCCCACACCACUGGUCCUAUUUCCAGUCCAGCCCCUCCAACCAUCACCCUGGGAAGCAUUUCUUCUGGACAUGUGAUCUGGCAAAGACUUCUUUUUAAUAAAAGCUUUUUUUAUUUUCAAAAUGCCUAAAAAGAUAAUUUCCAACAUUCAUCCUUACAAAACCUGUGUUCCAAAUUUUUCACCCCCCCUUCUCCCCAUAGACAGCAAAUAAUCCAAUAUAUGUUAAUAAACAUGUGCAAUUCUUCUAUAUAAAUAUUUCCACAUUUAUCAUGCUGCACAAGAAAAUUCAAAUCAAAAAGGAAAAGAGUGAGAAAGAAAAAAAGCAAGCAAACAGCAAUAAAAAAGGUAAAAAUACUAUGUUGUGAUCCACAUUGGGUUCCUAAUGUCCUUUUUCUAGAUGCAGAUGGCUCUCUCCAUCACAAGUCUAUUAAAAUUGCCUGAAUCAUCUCAUUGUUGAAAAGAGCCAAAUCUAUCACAUAAUCUUGCUGUUGCUGUGUAUAAUGAUCUCCUGGUUCUGCUCAUUUCACUUAAGAUCAGUUCCUGUAAAUCUCUCCAGGCCUUUCUGAAUCAUCCUGCUGGUCAUUUCUUACAGAACAAUAAUAUUCCAUAAUAUUCAUAUACCACAACUUAUUCAGCCAUUUUUCAGUUGAUGGGCAUCCAUUCAUUUUCCAGUUUCUGGCCACUACGAAAAGGGUGUCAUAAACAUUUUUGCACACUGGGUCCCUUUCCCUCUUUUAUGAUUUCUUUGGGAUACAGGCCCAGUAGAAACACUGCUGGGUCAAAGGAAAUGCACAGUUUGAUAGCCCUUUGGGCAUAGUUCCAGAUUGCUCUCAGGAAUGAUUGGAUCAAUUCACAACUCCAGCUACAAUGUAUUAAUGUUCCAGUUUUCAACAUUUAUCGUUAUCCUUUCCUGUUCUCUCCACCAAAGACCUUGACAUCAUUCAGUGUUUCAGCAUCAGAAAAGGAUUAGAUUUCCUGAGGAGAAAUGGUAUUAGAGACAUUAUUUCUUGUACAAAAUCAUUAAUAUGGAAAUGUUUUACAUAAUUGCAACAUGUAUAACUUAUAUCUGAUGGAUUACCAUGGUGGGGAGGAGAAGAAAUAGAAUUUGAAACUAAAAACUUUAAAUAAAAGCGCAAAAAAAUUAACUAAUAGACAAAAAGGAGAGAUCAAUAGAUUAGCUACAUAUAUAUGACAUCACAUCAAAUGUAUACAAAAAUAAUGUUUAAUAAAUCUAUG
ensembl:lncRNA